rnacentral:tRNA from 1 species
GGAGAGGUGGUCGAGUGGUUUAUGGCUCCGGUCUUGAAAACCGGCGUGGCCGAAAGGUCACCGUGGGUUCGAAUCCCACCCUCUCCGCCA